AGGAUGAAGGUAAGGUAAUACUUACUGGAGGUCCGAACCCACGCACGUUGAAAAGUGCGGGGAUGAGGUGUGGGUAGCGGAGAAAUUCCAAUCGAACUUGGAGAUAGCUGGUUCUCUCCGAAAUAGCUUUAGGGCUAGCCUCGAGGUAAAGAGUCAUGGAGGUAGAGCACUGUUUGGACUAGGGGCCCUUCUCGGGUUACCGAAUUCAGAUAAACUCCGAAUGCCAUGUACUUAUACUCGGGAGUCAGACUGCGAGUGAUAAGAUCCGUAGUCGAAAGGGAAACAGCCCAGACCACCAGUUAAGGUCCCCAAAUAUAUGUUAAGUGGAAAAGGAUGUGGGGUUGCUUAGACAACCAGGAUGUUGGCUUAGAAGCAGCCACCAUUGAAAGAGUGCGUAAUAGCUCACUGGUCGAGUGACCCCGCGCCGAAAAUGUACCGGGGCUAAACAUAUUACCGAAACUGUGGAUGAACCUCUUUAGAGGUUCGUGGUAGGAGAGCGUUCUAAGGGCGGUGAAGUCAGACCGGAAGGACUGGUGGAGCGCUUAGAAGUGAGAAUGCCGGUAUGAGUAGCGAAAGAAGGGUGAGAAUCCCUUCCACCGAAUAUCUAAGGUUUCCUGAGGAAGGCUCGUCCGCUCAGGGUUAGUCGGGACCUAAGCCGAGGCCGAUAGGCGUAGGCGAUGGACAACAGGUAGAGAUUCCUGUACCAGUGCUAAUUGUUUAACCGAUGGGGUGACACAGAAGGAUAGGGAAUCGCACGAAUGGAAAUGUGCGUCCAAGCAGUGAGUGUGAGAAGUAGGCAAAUCCGCUUCUCGCGAAGCAUGAGCUGUGAUGGGGAAGGAAAUUAAGUACGGAAGUUCCUGAUUUCACGCUGUCAAGAAAAGCCUCUAGGAAGAGUAGUACUGCCCGUACCGCAAACCGACACAGGUAGAUGAGGAGAGAAUCCUAAGGUGAGCGAGAGAACUCUCGUUAAGGAACUCGGCAAAAUGACCCCGUAACUUCGGGAGAAGGGGUGCUCUAUUAGGGUGCAAGCCCGAGAGAGCCGCAGUGAAUAGGCCCAGGCGACUGUUUAGCAAAAACACAGGUCUCUGCAAAACCGUAAGGUGACGUAUAGGGGCUGACGCCUGCCCGGUGCUGGAAGGUUAAGAGGAGUGCUUAGCUUCGGCGAAGGUACGAAUUGAAGCCCCAGUAAACGGCGGCCGUAACUAUAACGGUCCUAAGGUAGCGAAAUUCCUUGUCGGGUAAGUUCCGACCCGCACGAAAGGCGCAACGAUCUGGGCACUGUCUCAACGAGAGACUCGGUGAAAUUAUAGUACCUGUGAAGAUGCAGGUUACCCGCGACAGGACGGAAAGACCCCGUGGAGCUUUACUGCAACCUGAUAUGGAAUGUUUGUACCGCUUGUACAGGAUAGGUAGGAGCCGAAGAGACGUGUGCGCUAGCAUACGAGGAGGCAAUGGUGGGAUACUACCCUGGCUGUAUGACCAUUCUAACCCGCCACGCUUAGCGCGUGGGGAGACAGUGUCAGGUGGGCAGUUUGACUGGGGCGGUCGCCUCCUAAAGAGGAACGGAGGCGCCCCAAGGGUCCCUCAGAAUGGAUGGAAAUCAUUCGCAGAGUGUAAAGGCACAAGGGAGCUUG
rnacentral:rRNA from 1 species